rnacentral:rRNA from 1 species
GAUGAACGCUGGCGGCGUGCCUAAUACAUGCAAGUCGAGCGAACGGACGAGAAGCUUGCUUCUCUGAUGUUAGCGGCGGACGGGUGAGUAACACGUGGAUAACCUACCUAUAAGACUGGGAUAACUUCGGGAAACCGGUGCUAAUACCGGAUAAUAUUUUGAACCGCAUGGUUCAAAAGUGAAAGACGGUCUUGCUGUCACUUAUAGAUGGAUCCGCGCUGCAUUAGCUAGUUGGUAAGGUAACGGCUUACCAAGGCAACGAUGCAUAGCCGACCUGAGAGGGUGAUCGGCCACACUGGAACUGAGACACGGUCCAGACUCCUACGGGAGGCAGCAGUAGGGAAUCUUCCGCAAUGGGCGAAAGCCUGACGGAGCAACGCCGAGUGAGUGAUGAAGGUCUUCGGAUCGUAAAACUCUGUUAUUAGGGAAGAACAUAUGUGUAAGUAACUGUGCACAUCUUGACGGUACCUAAUCAGAAAGCCACGGCUAACUACGUG